GCCUCGUCAUCACCUGUCAUAUGCACACUCAACUUUGCGCAAAUCACGGGCAAUUUGUCGAAGAUUUUAGGUGAAGGAGAAAGCACGUGAAAGUUUACUGUUCAAUCAUCCAACGGUUGCCGACACGAGUGAAAGAAUAAUACCUCUACAGGUGUUAAAGAACUUCCUAUAACUGUCCACCUUCACCUUCCAUAGCAAGGCAGACAUACAGAGCCUUUCUUCAUCUCCAAAAAUGCUUUC
rnacentral:lncRNA from 1 species